AGAGCGAACGCUGGCGGCAGGCCUAACACAUGCAAGUCGAGCGCCCCGCAAGGGGAGCGGCAGACGGGAGAGUAACACGUGGGAACGUACCCUUCAGUUCGGAACAACCCAGGGAAACUUGGGCUAAUACCGAAUACGUCCGUAAGGAGAAAGAUUUAUCGCUGAAGGAUCGGCCCGCGUCUGAUUAGCUAGUUGGUGAGGUAACGGCUCACCAAGGCUACGAUCAGUAGCUGGUCUGAGAGGAUGAUCAGCCUCACUGGGACUGAGACACGGCCCAGACUCCUACGGGAGGCAGCAGUGGGGAAUAUUGGACAAUGGGCGCAAGCCUGAUCCAGCCAUGCCGCGUGGAUGAUGAAGGCCUUAGGGUUGUAAAGCUCUUUCGCUCGGGACGAUAAUGACGGUACCGAGAUAAGAAGCCCGGCUAACUUCGUGCCAGCAGCCGC
rnacentral:rRNA from 1 species